rnacentral:snRNA from 1 species
GUGCUCACUUUGGCAGCACAUAUACUAAAACUGAAACGAUACAGAGAAGAUUAGCAUGGCCCCUGCGCAAGGAUGACACACAAAUUUGUGAAGCGUUCCAUAUUUUC